CAGGUGUCCAGCGCGCCCCCUUCCUUACCCUCCCUCCUCUUGCAUUAAGCUCCCUUGUCUGUGAGACCCUCUGGGAGGUUUGCUGGGCUGAGAUGAGCCGCCCCGGCCACGGCCUGCCUGCUCACACCUCUCCAGCUUCCAGGGUUGCCACUCCGUCCGUCCGUCCAUCACUCCUCACCUCCAGGACAGGUUGUGCAACCUGAGACCCCAACUCCCUUGUCCCUGCGCGCACCCUUCUCGGGGGAACCCCUCGUGCCUUCUGCGUGCUGCUCAUUAAUCGUGUUGGGGGCGUCUUGGAGCCUCUGUGUGGAGUUCUGUAAAUAUGAUGGGUUCACACAAGGAAGUGAUUUUGAUUGGGGGAUUGUUGAUCCUACACGUGAAAUGGGAGUUAAGAGAAACCCAAAGACUGUAAUGACCUGUAAAGACUUAAUGAUUUGUAUUGUAUAGUGAACUAAACUUCUGUAAUUUUGUACCUUAUAUGCCUUCCCACCAUAUGACCAACAGCCUUUAAAUAAAACCAGAUGAUCUCUUGCCUA